GACGAACGCUGGCGGCGUGCUUAACACAUGCAAGUCGAGCGGUAAGGCCCUUUCGGGGUACGACGAGCGGCGAACGGGUAGAGUAACACGUGGGUGGACCUCGCCCUCCAGCUCUGGGAGUAAGCCUCGGGAAACGUAGGGUCGUAAUAACUGGAGUAUGACUCCACGGUGCAUGUCGUGGGGUGGAAAGACCUUGUGCGGCUGAGGAGUGGGCCCGGCCGGCCUAUCAGCUUGUUGGUGGGGUGGAUGGCCUACCAAGGCGACGACGGGUAGCCGGCCUGAGAGGGCGACCGGCCACACUGGGACUGAGACACGGCCCA
rnacentral:rRNA from 1 species